CCUACGGGAGGCAGCAGUCGAGAAUUAUUCACAAUGGGGGAAACCCUGAUGGUGCGAAGCAGCGUGGGGGAAUGAAGGUCUUCGGAUUGUAAACCCCUGUCAUGUGGGAGCAAAUUAAAAAGAUAGUACCACAAGAGGAAGAGACGGCUAACACUGUGCCAGCAGCCGCGGUACUACAGAGGUCGCAAGCGUUGCUCGGAAUCACUGGGCGUAAAGCGUGCGUAGGCUGUUUCGUAAGUCGUGUGUGAAAGGCGCGGGCUCAACCCGCGGACGGCACAUGAUACUGCGAGACUAGAGUAAUGGAGGGGGAACCGGAAUUCUCGGUGUAGCAGUGAAAUGCGUAGAUAUCGAGAGGAACACUCGUGGCGAAGGCGGGUUCCUGGACAUUAACUGACGCUGAGGCACGAAGGCCAGGGGAGCGAAAGGGAUUAGAUACCCCUGUAGUC
rnacentral:rRNA from 1 species